rnacentral:lncRNA from 1 species
AUCUUGUUGACAAUCUGUUUAAACAAUUCUAUGAAAAUUUUACAUACAUAGUUAUUAUCUGGUAACUAUAUUUCAUCCAUAUUUUAACUUCCACAAACUGCACCUUGAAAUACAUAUAUAGUUUGGAAGAGAUCAGAAGACAAACAGCAAACUCUUUAUAAAGCCAUAUUCAAUUGAAGUCAAAAUAAUUCAGAGAUCAAUGAUGAUAAAGUGUAAUAGGUGACACAAUGUUCUUGUAUGUAC